CUCUUUAGUCUGCGUGUGUUGCCACAGCCAAAUUUCACAGAGUUGGCGGCUUCAACUACAGAAACUCAGUUCUCACACUUCAGGAGCCCAUGGAGCCCGCGAUUAAUGUACGGUUGAUUCGAAUCCUGGUCUGUACAUCGGCUAGUAAGCUGGAGCAGUACAGUCAAGUUCAGGUCCAUCCCACAGUUCUCUCCUUCUAGAGCUGGUUGCUGCCUGAAGUUAAUUCUCUUUUCCAAAACUGUCCUGGAUACAGAAAACAGUCAGAUAUGGUUUGCCCCUCAGGAAGACUCAGCACAACGAAGAAAGACAAAGAAACACGGUAUCAAUUAAAGAAGCAGCCAAAGAAUGCCGCCAGGUGGCAGUGUCUGAGACCACUGGGAUUCCCUUCCUGCAGCAAGAGCGAUAAUGGAAAAACACCACUAUGUUAAAGCUCAGCUAGAACGUGACAACCGGCUUCCG